rnacentral:rRNA from 1 species
GUGCCAGCCGCCGCGGUAAUACCGGCAGCCCGAGUGAUGGCCGAUCUUAUUGGGCCUAAAGCCUCCGUAGCUGGCCGCACAAGUCCAUCGGAAAAUCCACCCGCCCAACGGGUGGGCGUCCGGUGGAAACUGUGUGGCUUGGGACCGGAAGGCGCGACGGGUACGUGCGGGGUAGGAGUGAAAUCCCGUAAUCCUGGACGGACCGCCGAUGGCGAAAGCACGUCGCGAGGACGGAUCCGACAGUGAGGGACGAAAGCCAGGGUCUCGAACCGGAUUAGAAACCCUCGUAGUC